AGGAUGAACGCUGGCGGCGUGCUUAACACAUGCAAGUCGAACGGUGAAGUGAGGAGCUUGCUCCUUGCGGAUCAGUGGCGAACGGGUGAGUAACACGUGAGUAACCUGCCCUUGACUCUGGGAUAAGCGUUGGAAACGACGUCUAAUACCGGAUACGACCUCCGAAGGCAUCUUCUGGAGGUGGAAAGAAUUUCGGUCAAGGAUGGACUCGCGGCCUAUCAGCUAGUUGGUGAGGUAAUGGCCCACCAAGGCGACGACGGGUAGCCGGCCUGAGAGGGUGACCGGCCACGACUGGGACUGAGACACGGCCCAGACUCCUACGGGAGGCAGCAGUGGGGAAUAUUGCACAAUGGGCGCAAGCCUGAUGCAGCAACGCCGCGUGAGGGACGACGGCCUUCGGGUUGUAAACCUCUUUUAGUAGGGAAGAAGCGAAAGUGACGGUACCUGCAGAAAAGCACCGGCUAACUACGUGCCAGCAGCCGC
rnacentral:rRNA from 1 species